CCGAGAGGCAACACAGAAGGACCCACCCAGGACAGCACAUUCCUGUUUCCAGCUUCCAAAAGGCUCAGGAUGAUCGCUCCACGGAGAUUCCGCCUCUCCUUCUUCACCUUCGCUUGCUGUCUGGCUGUGUUUCUCAGCCACAUUGGGGACACGGCACGCAUUGCUCCCGAAUUCCCCGGCAAAGAUGCUCCACUCGACCAACUGGUUCAAUAUUACAACGAGUACCAGCAAUACCACAACUCAAUCAACCGUCCCAGAUAUGGUAAGCGAUCUAGCAGUCAGGCAGUCUGCGGAGAUCCAAGCGCCAGAUUGGACUGUUCAUACUGACAAGUCCACAAGGAGGAUGGCUGCAAGCCUUCCAGACAGAACCCUGAUUUGCUCCAUGAUCCUCUUCACCUGACUUCUUCAUAUGAUGGCUGCCUGCUUCCGAGCAAGACAUUCCCUACUGGGCAUUCCCUUCCUCUCCUCUUCAACUAACUGUUGAAUUUAAUCAUUAUAAUAAAGCAAGAUUCUUGUUGCAAUCUGGUCGCCUUUCAAUGUGCAACC